UGGGGAAUCUUGCACAAUGGGGGCAACCCUGAUGCAGCGACGCCGCGUGAGCGAUGAAGGUUUUCGAAUCGUAAAGCUCUGUCCUAUGGGAAGAUAAUGACGGUACCAUAGGAGGAAGCCCCGGCUAACUACGUGCCAGCAGCCGCGGUAAUACGUAGGGCGCAAGCGUUAUCCGGAAUUAUUGGGCGUAAAGAGCUUGUAGGCGGUUCGUCGCGUCUGGUGUGAAAGCCCAUCGCUUAACGGUGGGUUUGCGCCGGGUACGGGCGGGCUAGAGUGCAGUAGGGGAGACUGGAAUUCCCGGUGUAACGGUGGAAUGUGUAGAUAUCGGGAAGAACACCAAUGGCGAAGGCAGGUCUCUGGGCUGUUACUGACGCUGAGAAGCGAAAGCGUGGGGAGCGAACAGG
rnacentral:rRNA from 1 species